CAAAAUCUCAGAGGGUACAAGAUUAAUUAUUUAAGGAAAACAUCACAAGGGUAAAAGAAAUUCAAUCAAAGAAAUCAGUGACAAAUCACUCAGUCUGAUUAAAGGGAUUUCAAAUAAUAAAUGUUCGAAGGGGAGUUUAUAUAUAAAGCAUGCAAUUUAUAACAAAGAAGAGCCUUACAAUGAGAAAUCUUAGAGCCAAAGGCAAGUGGGACUUCGAGUUUGAUUACAGGUUCGUCGUGAGCUUGUAAACAUACGGUUUCAGAGUGAAACCCUAAUGCCCUUUACUCGAAGGAAAAGCCCCCAAAAUAUAGGGUUUCUGAUAGGAUCAGAGAUGAGAAGCCAUUCGAAGCCAUAAAGAUAGGCAGACAUAAAAGAUAGGCAGACAUACACAAGCAAGAAUAUAGAAGCUACAAGUUCAACAGAACUCAGAACCAAAAUUAAAGCAUGAGCUUGAACACAUAUAGCAGAGAAUGAGAAUCAAACCUAGACUAGCAUGUGAACAAAGAACAUAGAUAAUCUCUGUAGCAAUCAGGAAAGAAAAUGAGAGAACAAACUUAUGAAAUAAACAAGCAAGUAUAAACACACGUAAGAGAGAAGAAGAAUCAGAAAAUAUUUCUAGGAAAUUUCCAAAAACCUAAAUCAGAUUUGAACGGUUUUUGAAAAAUAAAAAUUGGGAAAAAGCUCAAAAACGCCACAAACAACAUAGAUCUAGCAUAAAUAUGAAAGGAUAAAAUGAAAGGGAACCUCGAAUAGACUAGGAUUUCUUAGAACUCUAAAGGUCAAGGAAGGUUUGGAAGUCACGAGAGCAGAUCUGAAUUGAUACGGUCAAAUCCAGGCUCAGGAGGCUAAGGCACGUCGGAGCAAUGCCGGAAACAGCCAAAGAAUCUCGCAUCGACCAAGGUCUGGAUGAAUACCUUCGAGAUCUAGACUCGAAUCUUUUGUGAGCAGGCAUGUGGGACAGUAGAUGGUGGGUGGAGAUCGUUUAUGGCUAGAUUAGCCAUGGGUUUCGAUGAUUUGAGGUUGAAGAAGUGAUAGGCAGCCAUUAGGGUCCAGAGGUUGAGAUCAUUUGAGAGAGACGAAAGAAACCAAAG
rnacentral:lncRNA from 1 species